rnacentral:lncRNA from 8 species
AUGCAUCUGAAGAGUAUGGGGGUGUUCGUCAUACAUGACUGUUUUUACAGACCCUCUCCAUGUUGCCCCUCUCUCCCUCAGGCCUGUUGUAGUUCACCUUCCUCCACUAUGCACUGGCCUUCACCUCAGUGGUGCUGUUCUACAUCUACUACACACAGCCUAAAGACUGCACCGAGCACAAGGUCUUCAUCAGCCUCAACCUCAUCUUCAAUGUCAUCAUCUCCAUCGUCUCCAUCCUGCUCAAAGUACAGGAAGCCCACGCCCAGUCUGGUCUGCUCCAGGCCUCUCAUCUCCCUCUACACCAUGUAUGUCACCUGGUCACCCCAUGACCAACAACCCAAGCCUGACACCACCAGCCAGGCCAUGCAGAGCAGUAUGCCAGCUGUGUAGGUAAAGAUCAGCUCCAGUUGGCUGGGCCUGGGCCUCUACAUCUGGACCCUGUUUCCCGACCGAGACUUCGGCUGAACAGCCCCCCAUGGGGUCACCAUGGGCUUGUAAGAUGUUGUGUUGAAGUUUAUUAUUAUUAUAAAAAAUAUAUAUAUAUAUAUAUAUAUAUACACACACGAGUCAGAAUUUUUGCAUUGGUUUCUGUUGGUGUGUUUAAUCUUGUUUUGUUGGGUUUUGUUUUGAUUUAUGUUAUUAAACAUGUUAGGGUCUGAGAAAUACCAUAUGUUGCCACGAUGUUACUGAGUCUGAUUAAUAAACUGUCAUUAGUGUACAGCUCUAUAACAGUGCAUUUCAAGAACGAUAUGUUGGUGUUUGAUAAUAUUUAUAAUGGUUAUAAUUCAGUGGAUAUUGCGCUCAAAUUUGAUAAUUAUGAGUUCUUUGGCAAUUCUUGCACAUUUCAUAAUUUCAUAUUAGAUUAUUUACCUCUUAAUGCAUAUGAAGUUUCCCAAUGUGACAGAAAUGAGAUCAAUGUGUUUAACUCGUGGUGAAAAGAUUGGUGUGCUUAAGAGAUGUGAAAUGUUGCUUAUGAGGUGAAAUGUUGAAAUUGGUGGUCUGUUGAAGAAUCUUGACUGAACUAUAGUAAAACAGUACAAACAUUUGAGUAUUGUGAAUUAAAUAGUUUAAAAGUUAAAUUGAAGACAAUAAUUCAAUUCUGAUAUACAUUAAAGUGUACAAAACAUUAGGAACACAUUCCAAAUAUAGAGUUGCAACCCCUUUCACCCUCAGAACAGCCUCAAUUGGACUCUACAAGGUGUUGAAAGCAUUCCACAGGGAUGCUGGCCCAUGUUGACUCCAAUGCUUCCCACAGUUGUGUCAAGUUGGCUGGAUGUCAUUUGGGUGAUGGACCAUUCUUGAUACACACGGUGAACAGUUGAGCAUGAAAAACCCAGCAGUGUUACAGUUCUUGACACUCAAACAGGUGCGCCUGGCACCUACUACCAUACCCUGUUCAAAGGCACUUCAAUCGUUUGUCUUGCCCGUUCACCUUCUGAAUGGCACACACACACAAUCCAUGUCUCAAUUGUCGCAAGGCUUAAAAAUCCUUCUUUAACCUGUCUCCUCCCCUUAAUCUACACUGAUUGAAGUGGAUUUAACAGGUGACAUCAAUAAGGGAUCAUAGCUUUCAGCUAGAUUCACCUAGUCAGUCUGCCAUGGAAACUCAGUGUAUUGUACAGUAUAUGUUGCAUGUGAGCGUAAUGUAUUAUGCUUCAUUACCCAUACAGAUGAAUUAACCCAAGCAUGAUUUCAAGUGAUGAUCCUUCAGUAUUGCAUGAAGAAUUAUCAAUGGUGUUUUUGAGAACAACAACAUUGAGUGCCUUUUUAUAUUAAUGCAUUUCAAAAAGAACUACUUAUAGAUAUAAAUUCAAACCUGCAUUAAAGUGGCUUCCACAUUUUGUGUAAAAUGAUGGUGAGACAGUAGCAUGUCACAAGGAGUGUCUCAGCUAAUUUCAUAGUUUGAUUAUAAAGGUACUGUAUCUGCAAUUUCUCUUUUCAAAAAAAUCCUCAACAUAAUAAAAAAGUAUCUAUUGUUUACUAUCUAUAAUACUUUCUUCACAAUUGCAGUAAAAUUAGUUCUCAAUGUUGACCACUAGGUGGAACUGAAGCUCCUUCAAUCAUAUUGUUUUCUUUACUGUUAUCAGAAACUGCAGUACAGUACAGGAGACUGCAGUACACUACAGACAUGGCAUAAGGAUAUUUUCUAUUCAAUGGACUGAGGUUGCUCAGAGCCCUGUGCUCUGAGAAACUUGAGAACUGUGAAGAGUGAAUGUGAUGUGACCAAUAGGCCUGUCCUCUGUGGAUGUUCUCGAUUGUACAGUAUGCUGUUGAUCCUUAUUGACUCAAAAUGUCUCUUUUAUCUUGGUAUGUUCACCAGAGGGAGAAAGCCUGAUUAUCUAUUUGCUGGGUCUAUGAUAACAUUUCCAUCAGAUUGCUACUGUAAGGGGACCCCACAGUCCUCACAGCACAAUCCGAGAUUAGGCUGAGGAGGCACUGGGGAUGGAUGGGGACAGAAGAGGGCCAAAUGGGGGCACUGCAUCUUUUUACCAGCAAUUGUUUGAUUUUCAUUGCUCAUGUUAUUUAAAACAGAACCUGAAGCCACUGAAGGUUUCCGAGGAACAUAGGACUAAGUUACACUGCCAUAGAUAUCAUAUUUCGUUUUUAGGUACCAGUUCUGUAAAAGUAGUCCCAAUUGUUGAUCGCUUUCCCUUGAUUUUAUUAUUUUAUUUAUUUAACAUUUAUUUAACUAGGCAAGUCAGUUAUGAACAAAUUCUUAUUUACAACGACGGCCUACCAAAAGGCAAAAGGCCUCCUGCGGGGACGGGGGCCUGGGAUUAAAGUAAAUAAAUACAAUAUAAAUAUAGGACAAAACACACAUCACAACAAGAGAGACAACACAAACACUUCAUAAAGAGAGACCAAAGAUAAUAACAUAGCAAGGCAGCAACACAUGACAACACAGCAUGGUAGCAACGCAACAUGGUAGCAGCACAUAACAUGGUACAAACAUUAUUGGGCACAGUCAACAGCACAAAGGUCAAGAAGGUAGAGACAACAAUACAUCACACAAAGCAGCCACAACUGUCAGUAAGAGUGUCCAUGAUUGAGUCUUUGAAUGAAGAGAUUGAGAUAAAACUGUCCAGUUUGAGUGUUUGUUGCAGCUCGUUCCAGUCGCUAGCUGCAGCGAACUGAAAAGAGGAGCGACCCAGGGAUGUGUGUGCUUUGGGGACCUUUACCAGAAUGCAACUGGCAGAACGGGUGUUGUAUGUGGAGGAUGAGGGCUGCAGUAGAUAUCUCAGAUAGGAGGGAGU